rnacentral:rRNA from 1 species
AGCGAACGCUGGCGGCGUGCUUAACACAUGCAAGUCGAACGUGAAAGUAGCAAUACGAGUAAAGUGGCGUACGGGUGAGUAACACGUGGGUAAUCUACCUUAGUGUCUGGAAUAACCGGCCGAAAGGCUGGCUAAUACUAGAUAGUUCAAAUGUAUUAUAACGAUACGAUUGGGAAAGGGAGCCGGUAACGGCCUUCGCAUUAAGAUGAGCCCGCGUCUGAUUAGCUAGUUGGUAAGGUAAUGGCUUACC